CUACGGGUUGCUGCAGUGGGGAAUAUUGCACAAUGGACGAAAGUCUGAUGCAGCAACGCCGCGUGGAGGAUGACGCAUUUCGGUGUGUAAACUCCUUUUAUAUGUCAAGAAAAUGACGGUAGCAUAUGAAUAAGCACCGGCUAACUCCGUGCCAGCAGCCGCGGUAAUACGGAGGGUGCAAGCGUUACUCGGAAUCACUGGGCGUAAAGGACGCGUAGGCGGGAUAUCAAGUCAGGUGUGAAAUCCUACAGCUUAACUGUAGAACUGCACUUGAAACUGGUAACCUAGAGUAUGGGAGGGGGAGAUGGAAUUAGUGGUGUAGGGGUAAAAUCCGUAGAUAUCACUAGGAAUACCUAAAGCGAAGGCGAUCUCCUGGAACAUAACUGACGCUAAGGCGUGAAAGCGUGGGGAGCAAACAGGAUUAGAUACCCGCGUAGUC
rnacentral:rRNA from 1 species